AAACUUUCAACAACGGAUCUCUUGGCUCUGGNAUCGAUGAAGAACGCAGCGAAAUGCGAUAAGUAAUGUGAAUUGCAGAAUCUAGUGAAUCAUCGAAUCUUUGAACGCACAUUGCGCCCCUUGGUAUUCCGAGGGGCAUGCCUGUUCGAGCGUC
rnacentral:rRNA from 1 species